rnacentral:rRNA from 1 species
GAGCCCUUGAGGCGUGGCUUCCGGAGCUAACGCGUUAAGUGGACCGCCUGGGGAGUACGGCCGCAAGGUUAAAACUCAAAUGAAUUGACGGGGGCCCGCACAAGCGGUGGAGCAUGUGGUUUAAUUCGAUGCAACGCGAAGAACCUUACCUACUCUUGACAUCCAGAGAACUUACCAGAGAUGCUUUGGUGCCUUCGGGAACUUUGAGACAGGUGCUGCAUGGCGGUCGUCAGCUCGUGUUGUGAAAUGUUGGGUUAAGUCCCGCAACGAGCGCAACCCUUAUCCUUUGUUGCCAGCGGUUCGGUCGGGAACUCAAAGGAGACUGCCAGUGAUAAACUGGAGGAAGGUGGGGAUGACGUCAAGUCAUCAUGGCCCUUACGAGUAGGGCUACACACGUGCUACAAUGG